rnacentral:rRNA from 1 species
CGGCGUGCUUAACACAUGCAAGUUGAACGGGAUCAUGCUCAACACCGAGCAGUCGGAGAGCUGGAAGAAAAGCCAGAGAGAACCGAUGCUGGGUGUUGAGCAUGUGAGAGUAGCGGACGGGCGAGUAACGCGUGAGUAACCUGCCCUUUGCAGGGGGAUAACAUCGGGAAACCGGUGCUAAUACCGCAUAAGACCACAUUACCGCAUGGUAGAGUGGUCAAAGCUCCGGCGGCAAAGGAUGGACUCGCGUCCAAUUAGCUAGUUGGUGAGGUAAUGGCUCACCAAGGCGACGAUUGGUAGCCGAACUGAGAGGUUGGUCGGCCGCAUUGGGACUGAGACACGGCCCAGACUCCUACGGGAGGCAGCAGUGGGGAAUAUUGCGCAAUGGAGGAAACUCUGACGCAGCAACGCCGCGUGAAGGAAGAAGGCUUUCGGGUUGUAAACUUCUUUGAUCGGGGACGAAGAUGACGGUACCCGAGGAACAAGCCACGGCUAACUACGUG